rnacentral:rRNA from 1 species
UUUCAACGGAGAGUUUGAUCCUGGCUCAGGACGAACGCUGGCGGCGUGCUUAACACAUGCAAGUCGAGCGGUAAGGCUCCUUCGGGAGUACACGAGCGGCGAACGGGUGAGUAA